rnacentral:rRNA from 1 species
UGGGGAAUAUUGGACAAUGGGCGCAAGCCUGAUCCAGCCAUGCCGCGUGUGUGAAGAAGGCCUUUUGGUUGUAAAGCACUUUAAGCGAGGAGGAGGCUACUUGGAUUAAUACUCUAGGAUAGUGGACGUUACUCGCAGAAUAAGCACCGGCUAACUCUGUGCCAGCAGCCGCGGUAAUACAGAGGGUGCGAGCGUUAAUCGGAUUUACUGGGCGUAAAGCGUGCGUAGGCGGCUUCUUAAGUCGGAUGUGAAAUCCCUGAGCUUAACUUAGGAAUUGCAUUCGAUACUGGGAAGCUAGAGUAUGGGAGAGGAUGGUAGAAUUCCAGGUGUAGCGGUGAAGUGCGUAGAGAUCUGGAGGAAUACCGAUGGCGAAGGCAGCCAUCUGGCCUAAUACUGACGCUGAGGUACGAAAGCAUGGGGAGCAAACAGG